AGUGAACGCUGGCGGUAGGCCUAACACAUGCAAGUCGAACGGCAGCACAGUAAGAGCUUGCUCUUACGGGUGGCGAGUGGCGGACGGGUGAGGAAUACAUCGGAAUCUACUUUUUCGUGGGGGAUAACGUAGGGAAACUUACGCUAGUACCGCAUACGACCUACGGGUGAAAGCAGGGGAUCUUCGGACCUUGCGCGAUUGAAUGAGCCGAUGUCGGAUUAGCUAGUUGGCGGGGUAAAGGCCCACCAAGGCGACGAUCCGUAGCUGGUCUGAGAGGAUGAUCAGCCACACUGGAACUGAGACACGGUCCAGACUCCUACGGGAGGCAGCAGUGGGGAAUAUUGGACAAAGGGCGCAAGCCUGAUCCAGCCAUACCGCGUGGGUGAAGAAGGCCUUCGGGUUGUAAAGCCCUUUUGUUGGGAAAGAAAAGCAGCAGGUUAAUACCCCGCUGUUCUGACGGUACCCAAAGAAUAAGCACCGGCUAACCUCGUG
rnacentral:rRNA from 1 species